rnacentral:piRNA from 1 species
UGCCAGCACACAGAAAAGAACGUGAUA